rnacentral:rRNA from 1 species
UGGGGAAUAUUGGACAAUGGGCGCAAGCCUGAUCCAGCCAUGCCGCGUGGGUGAAGAAGGCCUUCGGGUUGUAAAGCCCUUUUGUCCGGAAAGAAAAGCUUUCGGUUAAUACCCGGGAGUCCUGACGGUACCGGAAGAAUAAGCACCGGCUAACUUCGUGCCAGCAGCCGCGGUAAUACGAAGGGUGCAAGCGUUACUCGGAAUUACUGGGCGUAAAGCGUGCGUAGGUGGUUCGUUAAGUCCGAUGUGAAAGCCCUGGGCUCAACCUGGGAAUGGCAUGGGAUACUGGCGGGCUAGAGUGCGGUAGAGGGCAGUGGAAUUCCCGGUGUAGCAGUGAAAUGCGUAGAGAUCGGGAGGAACAUCUGUGGCGAAGGCGACUGCCUGGACCAGCACUGACACUGAGGCACGAAAGCGUGGGGAGCAAACAGG